GCGCCUGUGGUUUAGUGGUAAAAUCCAUCGUUGCCAAUCAAAAUCCCUCUCUUCCAAGAGUCUUUGAAUAACUUCGAUGGGCCCCGGAUUCGAUUUCCGGCGGGCGCA